rnacentral:rRNA from 1 species
AAAAUCCGCCCGUCAUAUACCGAGGCCAACGAUCGAGCCAGCUUGCUGGUGAAGUGACUGAACGAGGUUCCAGGAAAAGCCACUAAGCUUCAGCUACACACGACCGUACCGCAAACCGACACUGGUGCGCGAGAUGAGUAUUCUAAGGCGCUUGAGAGAACUCAGGAGAAGGAACUCGGCAAAUUGACACCGUAACUUCGGAAGAAGGUGUGCCCUAUUAGUGUGAAGUGAACAACGGAGCAUGAAUGGGUUGCAAAAAAUCGGUGGCUGCGACUGUUUAUUAAAAACACAGCACUCUGCAAACACGAAAGUGGACGUAUAGGGUGUGACGCCUGCCCGGUGCUGGAAGAUUAAAUGAUGGGGUGCAAGCUCUUGAUUGAAGUCCCAGUAAACGGCGGCCGUAACAAUAACGGUCCUAAGGUAGCGAAAUUCCUUGUCGGGUAAGUUCCGACCUGCACGAAUGGCGUAACGAUGGCCACACUGUCUCCUCCUGAGACUCAGCGAAGUUGAAAUGUUUGUGAUGAUGCAAUCUCCCCGCGGAAAGACGGAAAGACCCCAUGAACCUUUACUGUAGCUUUGUAUUGGACUUUGAACAGAUCUGUGUAGGAUAGGUGGGAGGCUUUGAAGCAGGGUCGCUAGAUCUUGUGGAGCCAACGUUGAAAUACCACCCUGGUGUGUUUGAGGUUCUAACCUAGGUCCAUUAUCUGGAUCGGGGACAGUGCAUGGUAGGCAGUUUGACUGGGGCGGUCUCCUCCCAAAGCGUAACGGAGGAGUUCGAAGGUACGCUAGUUACGGUCGGACAUCGUGACGAUAGUGCAAUGGCAUAAGCGUGCUUAACUGCGAGACUGACAAGUCGAGCAGAUGCGAAAGCAGGACAUAGUGAUCCGGUGGUUCUGUAUGGAAGGGCCAUCGCUCAACGGAUAAAAGGUACUCUGGGGAUAACAGGCUGAUACCGCCCAAGAGUUCAUAUCGACGGCGGUGUUUGGCACCUCGAUGUCGGCUCAUCUCAUCCUGGGGCUGUAGCCGGUCCCAAGGGUAUGGCUGUUCGCCAUUUAAAGAGGUACGUGAGCUGGGUUUAAAACGUCGUGAGACAGUUUGGUCCCUAUCUUCCGUGGGCGCUGCAGAUUUGAGGAAGCCUGCUCCUAGUACGAGAGGACCGGAGUGGACACACCUCUGGUGUAUCGGUUGUCACGCCAGUGGCAUUGCCGAGUAGCUAAGUGUGGAAGAGAUAACCGCUGAAAGCAUCUAAGCGGGAAACUCGUUUCAAGAUGAGAUCUGCCGGGGCCUCGAGCCCCCUGAAGAGUCGUUCAAGACCAGGACGUUGAUAGGUCGGGUGUGGAAGCGCAGUAAUGCGUUAAGCUAACCGAUACUAAUUGCUCGUGCGGCUUGAUC